GUGUGUUUCCUCUCUGCAGGUAAAAAUUAGGUUCAUGCAACAGGCAAGGCGUGGCUGCUGUCAGAGGUCAGAGCAGCUGAAGAAACAUCUUCAACUCCAGGUCCUAAAGAGACGAUAAAGAUGAUGAAGAGCUGUUGUGUGAGACAGGAAGUGACUCCGACGUCCUGCUCGCUGCUCGUCUCCAGCUGUGUGUUAGGGAGGAGAGAUGGUUAAAAAAAUGGAGUCAGAGAAGAGAGACCAUCUCCCAACAGGGUAGGAGGGCUGAGACACCACCUAUCCUCCACAUCAUGGCCUAAACUGGGAGACUGAACCUGAUCUGGGAUCUGGGACUGGGACUGCCCCCCCCAAUAAACUCUGUGUCAACCUGGAUACGGUUUUCUAGCAUUGUAGUAAAUUGAUGAGGAGACGGAACAAAUGUUCUCAGU